GCUUUACUGUAACCUGGAAUGGUGUCCGGGCUGAACUUGCGCAGGAUAGGUGGGAGGCGUAGAGAUAUUCCUUGUGGGGGAUAUGGAGCCAACACUGAGAUACCACUCUUGUUCAGCUAGGAUUCUAACCCGCGACCGUGAGCCGGUCGGGAGACAGUUUCAGGCGGGCAGUUUGACUGGGGCGGUCGCCUCCUAAAAGAUAACGGAGGCGCGCAAAGGUUCCCUCAGCACGCUUGGAAACCGUGCGACGAGUGUAAAGGCAUAAAGGGAGCUUGACUGUAACACCUACAAGUGGAGCAGGUACGAAAGUAGGCCUUAGUGAUCCGACGGCACAGCGUGGAAUGGCCGUCGCUCAACGGAUAAAAGUUA
rnacentral:rRNA from 2 species